UAUUGCACAAUGGGGGAAACCCUGAUGCAGCGACGCCGCGUGAGCGAUGAAGUAUUUCGGUAUGUAAAGCUCUAUUAGCAGGGAAGAACAUGACGGUACCUGACUAAGAAGCACCGGCCAAAUACGUGCCAGCAGCCGCGGUAAUACGUAUGGUGCAAGCGUUAUCCGGAUUUACUGGGUGUAAAGGGAGCGUAGACGGGGUGGCAAGACUGAUGUGAAAACCCGGGGCUCAACCCCGGGACUGCAUUGGAAACUGUCAAUCUAGAGUACCGGAGAGGUAAGCGGAAUUCCUAGUGUAGCGGUGAAAUGCGUAGAUAUUAGGAGGAACACCAGUGGCGAAGGCGGCUUACUGGACGGUAACUGACGUUGAGGCUCGAAAGCGUGGGGAGCAAACAGG
rnacentral:rRNA from 1 species